GUCUUUAUCCCUGCAACCUGUACUGAUGCCAGCCUCCACCUCUCUUCUUUCUUAAAGCCAACAGCACCUGGCAUUUACUCUCAGGAAGUCUCCUAUCCAUGUACUGACGGAGCCAGACCCUGCUCAGCUCCCGAUGAGAGACGGGUGGUCAAGGUGAGAUGGCUGCAGCCCCCGCCCUCACUUCUGCAGCAUGCCCCCGGCUCUGCCCAGGACACUGUCCGUGAACACAUUCUUCUGCACCUUCACUCACUUCAAGCUCAGCUCAGGUCUAAAGGUGAUCCCGUCGGCUGCUCCAGUCCGACUCUGACCAAAAGUGGAGAGAGCAGAAUGAGUACACAGGAAAGUUAGCUGCACGGCACAAGAGAGGCCACUCCUGUCACUCGUCAAGACUCCAGCCAGAGCCCAGCUUGUGGGAAUGCCCACCUUCCAAACAGAAGAGCAAGACCUGACCAGCAAGGAGCGGCUGAGCUGCAUCUGACUGCAGUAAUACAGUUAUUCCCCAGGCACACUUAAGAGUCACUGUGUCAACCACCUGCAUCUUGGGCUCUGGCAACAAGGCCUGCAUGGCAAAAUAUCUUGCAGUAGGAUGUACUCGGGUUAGGGGUGAAACCACUUUGCCCUGGACUGUGCUCAGGUUAUAAGAGCUUCUAGCUACAGGUACUGACCAUGCUCAUCUUGGGAAGAGCUCCUGGUGGUGUAACACAACAACCCCCGUGCCCUCAACCCAGAGUCUCCAGCCUCUUGCCACCACUUCAGGUCACAGCAGUGAAGGGACAGCAUAGGAUUCUGAAGUACUCUCCCCACACAUGAAGCUUCAGGUGAGAGCAUCACUCAGGAAGUAGAAACAUUCACACUGCAGUGAAGAGGCCACCUUCCUGGGAACACCUGACAGCAUGGGAGCAGGAACCCCUCUGUUUUCUCAUCACCUUCACUUGGACUAAGGCUACCUUUGUAGGCAACUCCCAAUCAGAUGUGUCAGACCUCCUUUUAUUUUCGGUAUGACUAAUCAUUUUUCUAUCUUCAUUCCAUGCUGCCUUAAGACAAGACAGAGUCUGAGGCUAGGGUCUGCUAAUGCUGCCCUACUACACACUUUUGUGAAAUCUGUGACAGAAGCAAAGGGAACAGGGAUUUGUAAUGUUCAGAUAGAGGGGACACAGCCAGACAGAAGUACAGUACAAAGAGACAGAUGUGAGCAAACAUCUUUGAUUCCAAUAAUGAACUCUCUAAGUGGACUGCUUAUUCUGAGCAGAUGAUGAUGAGGAUGAGGAGGAGGAGGAGGAGGAUCUGCUAGGGGAUAAACUGGGGUGCACCCAGGGUUUCAGGGCGUCGACUCCUUGAAUACACCUGUGCAAGUACCAGGAUAAACAUCAGGCAUAGACUCUCAGAGAAGUCCCCACAGACAGCCAUGCAUCCGCAAACCCCUCACAUACAAGGGUAGCGGAGGAGGCUGUAUAGGCAUUGAGCUCUCUCCCUCCUAUUAUCUAUCAGGAAGAGAUCCAACUGUUCUUCCAGACUCAUCCCACCCAGCCUCCAGCCUCCAGCCUCCAGCCUCCAGACAGUAUUUCCCUUGCAGCACUGUGGCAGCAGCAGCUUCUGGAAUCAGUCAUCUACAGGGUUGGUGCGUGGCUCCCAUCAGUCUCUCUACAGAGCAUGGAGCUGCUUGGCAGUGCAGUGGCCCACCUCAAAAGGCAUGGCCAGGGAGUCAUCUUCUCACUCCAGACCUUCUCUGCAACAAAGCCGAUGAAUAUAAGCCGUACACAUCCUG
rnacentral:lncRNA from 1 species